rnacentral:rRNA from 1 species
GACGAACGCUGGCGGCGUGCCUAAUACAUGCAAGUCGAACGCACAGUUUAUACCGUAGCUUGCUACACCAUAGACUGUGAGUUGCGAACGGGUGAGUAACGCGUAGGUAACCUGCCUGGUAGCGGGGGAUAACUAUUGGAAACGAUAGCUAAUACCGCAUAAUAUUAAUUAUUGCAUGAUAAUUAAUUGAAAGGUGCAAUUGCACCACUACCAGAUGGACCUGCGUUGUAUUAGCUAGUAGGGGAGGUAACGGCUCACCUAGGCGACGAUACAUAGCCGACCUGAGAGGGGGAUCGGCCACACUGGGACUGAGACACGGCUCAGACUCCUAAGGGAGGCAGCAGUAGGGAAUCUUCGGCAAUGGACGAAAGUCUGACCGAGCAAAGCCGCGGGAGUGAAGAAGGGUGUCGGAUCGGAAAGCUCUGUUGUAAGAGAAGAACGGGUGUGAUAGUGGAAAGUUCACACUGUGACGGUACCUUACCAGAAAGGGACGGCUAACUACGUG